GGCUGGUCCGAAGGUAGUGAGUUAUCUCACAUGAUUGUUCACAGUCAGUUACAGAUUGAACUCCUUGUUCUACUACUUUCUCCCCUCCUCACUACUGCACUUGACUAGUCUUUA
ensembl:misc_RNA Y_RNA Y RNA